UCAGUCAUUGUCGGAUUCUA
rnacentral:siRNA from 1 species